AGCAUGUGAUAAAAUCCAACCUCUAUUCAAGAUAAAACUAUCAGCUGCGUAUAUCACACCCAAAAGGCAUCUGGGUUCAUUGUGAUAAUGGGCAUAAGACUUUUGGCCUUCCUAUGAACAAAUACUCUACAUGU
ensembl:snoRNA small nucleolar RNA SNORA11